rnacentral:rRNA from 1 species
UACGGGGGGGGGCAAGCGUUGUUCGGAAUUACUGGGCGUAAAGCGCGCGUAGGCGGGAUGGCAAGUCGGUCGUGAAAUCCCUCGGCUCAACCGAGGAACGUCGAUCGAUACUGCUGUUCUUGAGGAUUGCAGAGGAGACUGGAAUUCCCGGUGUAGCGGUGAAAUGUGUAGAGAUCGGGAGGAACACCGGUGGCGAAGGCGGGUCUCUGGGCAAUUCCUGACGGCUGAGGCGCGAAAGCGUGGGGAGCAAACGGG